AUUGAACGCUGGCGGCAUGCUUUACACAUGCAAGUCGAAUGGUAACAGGUCUUCGGAUGCUGACGAGUGGCGAACGGGUGAGUAAUGCAUCGGAACGUGCCCAGUCGUGGGGGAUAACGCAGCGAAAGCUGUGCUAAUACCGCAUACGAUCUAUGGAUGAAAGCGGGGGAUCGCAAGACCUUGCGCUAUACGAGCGGCCGAUGUCAGAUUAGCUAGUUGGUAGGGUAAAGGCCUACCAAGGCGACGAUCUGUAGCGGGUCUGAGAGGAUGAUCCGCCACACUGGGACUGAGACACGGCCCAGACUCCUACGGGAGGCAGCAGUGGGGAAUUUUGGACAAUGGGCGCAAGCCUGAUCCAGCCAUGCCGCGUGCGGGAAGAAGGCCUUCGGGUUGUAAACCGCUUUGUCAGGGAAGAAAUACUUCUGGGCUAAUACCUCGGGAGGAUGACGGUACCUGAAGAAUAAGCACCGGCUAACU
rnacentral:rRNA from 1 species